AAAUAUUGUAUUACUAAGAACCAGGUUUUGUAGAGAUCCUUUUGAAGGAAAUUCAGGUAAAGAGCCCCCAAGCAUCUCAUUCACUGAUAAGUCAAUUGUUUGCAGAGUUGGUACCUGGAAUAUUUUCUGAGGUGCCUCUCCUAUCAAGUUGCAGGAACUUAGACUCAAGACAGUUAGAUUGGUGAAUUCCGCAAAGAACUCUGGAAUUGGUGCAGAUAAAUUGUUCCCAUCAAGACGGACAAUCGAGAGAAACUUAAGAUCAGCUAAUGGAGUGAUACUACCCGAGAAUGAUUCAGCGCUGAGGUCAAGACCAAUAACUUGGCCUUCACCGUUG
rnacentral:misc_RNA from 1 species